ACCUCUGUGGCGCAAUGGGUCAGAGUGCAUGGCUCUUAACCAGAAGGUUGGUGGUUCAAGCCCACCCAGGGUAGGA